rnacentral:rRNA from 1 species
CCUACGGGAGGCUGCAGUAGGGAAUCUUUCACAAUGGGCGAAAGCCUGAUGGAGCAACGCCGCGUGCAGGAUGAAGGCCUUCGGGUUGUAAACUGCUUUUAUAAGCGAGAAAUAUGAUGGUAACUUAUGAAUAAGGAUCGGCUAACUACGUGCCAGCAGCCGCGGUCAUACGUAGGAUCCGAGCAUUAUCCGGAGUGACUGGGGGUAAAGAGUUGCGUAGGUGGCAUAGUAAGUAGCUAGUGAAAUCUGGUGGCUCAACCAUUCAGACUAUUAGCUAAACUGCUAAGCUCGAGACCGUUAGGGGUAACGGGAAUGUCUGGUGUAGGGGUGAAAUGCGUAGAUAUUAGAAGGAACACCGAUAGCGUAGGCAGGUUACUGGGACGGUUCUGACACUAAGGCACGAAAGCGUAGGGAGCAAACGGGAUUAGAUACCCGUGUAGUC